GGUGGCGGGCAGAUGGUCGCGGCCGGAGACACCGGCCGAGGAAAGUCCGAGCUCCGCAGAGCAGGGCGCCGGGUAACACCCGGCGAGGGAAACCUCAGGGAGAGUGCCACAGAAAUGACACAGCCGGCGUCGGGCCGGCGAAGGUGAAAUGGUGGGGUAAGAGCCCACCGGCGGCCGGGUGACCGGCCGGCCAGGCAAACCCCGCUCGGAGCAAGACCCGGCAGGGUGCGGGUGCAGGCACCCACGGACGGCUCGUCCGCAGGCACCCGGGUGGGUCGCUGGAGGCGACGGGUGACCGUCGUCGUAGAUGGAUGGCCAUCGCCGCUGGGGGGGAGGCCCGCCGCGCGGGCGGCCCCAGCGGGCACAGAACUCGGCUUACCGCCCGCCGUACCAC
rnacentral:RNase_P_RNA from 1 species